rnacentral:rRNA from 1 species
GACGUAGGGCGCGAGCGUUGUCCGGAUUUACUGGGCGUAAAGGAUGCGUAGGCGGACAUUUAAGUCAGAUGUGAAAUACCCGAGCUUAACUUGGGUGCUGCAUUUGAAACUGGGUGUCCAGAGUGCAGGAGAGGUAAGUGGAAUUCCUAGUGUAGCGGUGAAAUGCGUAGAGAUUAGGAAGAACACCAGUGGCGAAGGCGACUUACUGGACUGUAACUGACGCUGAGGCAUGAAAGCGUGGGGAGCAAACAGG